rnacentral:rRNA from 1 species
GAUGAACGCUGGCGGUCUGCUUAACACAUGCCAGUCGAACGGACUCUCUCUGGUUCUGUGGGCGGCUGGAGUGGUAACGCGUUAGAUUCUACGCUUGUGAGGUGGCUAUGGGUUUGGGAUAACUUCUAAUACCCCAGGUUCCUACAGGAAAAAAGUAAUUCGCGAAGGGAUGAGCUCGCGACGUAUCAGCUAGUUGGUGGGGUAACAGACCAUCACGGCGACGAUCCGGAGCUGGUCUGAGAGGAUGACCAGCCACACUGGGACUGAGACACGGCCCAGACUCCUACGGGAGGCAGCAGUGGGGAAUUUUCCGCAAUGGGCGCAAGCCUGACGGAGCAAGACCGCGUGAGGGAAGACGGUCUGUGGAUUGUAAACCUCUUUUGACAGGGAAGAAGUACUGACGGUACCUGUCGAAUCAGCCUCGGCUAACUCCGUG